rnacentral:rRNA from 1 species
CAAAGGGAGCGAUUCCGGCAACGGAUGGGCAUGCGUGACAUUAGCUAGUUGGCGGGGCAACGGCCCACCAAGGCGACGAUGUCUAGGGGUUCUGAGAGGAAGGUCCCCCACACUGGUACUGAGACACGGACCAGACUCCUACGGGAGGCAGCAGUGAGGAAUAUUGGUCAAUGGGCGCGAGCCUGAACCAGCCAAGUCGCGUGAGGGAUGACGGCCCUACGGGUUGUAAACCUCUUUUGUCGGGGAGCAAAUUCCGUUACGUGUAACGGAGUCGAGAGUACCCGAAGAAAAAGCAUCGGCUAACUCCGUGCCAGCAGCCGCGGUAAUACGGAGGAUGCGAGCGUUAUCCGGAUUUAUUGGGUUUAAAGGGUGCGUAGGCGGACUGUCAAGUCAGCGGUAAAAUACGGGGGCUCAACCUCCGCCCGCCGUUGAAACUGACGGUCUUGAGUGGGCGAGAAGUAUGCGGAAUGCGUGGUGUAGCGGUGAAAUGCAUAGAUAUCACGCAGAACUCCGAUUGCGAAGGCAGCAUACCGGCGCCCAACUGACGCUGAAGCACGAAAGCGUGGGUAUCGAACAGGAUUAGAUACCCUGGUAGUCCACGCAGUAAACGAUGAAU